AUUGAACGCUGGCGGCAGGCUUAACACAUGCAAGUCGAACGAGUGGCGGACGGGUGAGUAAUGUUUGGGAAUCUAGCUCAUGGCGGGGGAUAACUACGGGAAACUGUAGCUAAUACCGCGUACCAUCGGUUGAGCCCAAGUGGGAUUAGCUAGUUGGUGGGGUAACGGCUCACCAGGCCGACGAUCACUAGCUGGCCUGAGAGGAUGACCAGCCACACUGGAACUGGGAAACGGUCCAGACUCCUAAGGGAGGCAGCAGUGGGGAAUAUUGCGCAAGGGGGGCAAGCCUGACGCAGCCAUGCCGCGGAGAUGAAGAAGGCCUUCGGGUUGUAAAGUACUUUCGGUAGGGAGGCGUUAACUACAGAAGAAGCACCGGCUAACUCCGUGCCAGCAGCCGCGGUAAUUC
rnacentral:rRNA from 1 species